UGAAUAUAAUAAAUAAUAUUUCAUUAUAAUAUGCCGUUAUAUAAAAAUAAGCCAGUAGAUCUACUUGUUACGUUUGUUUUUCGCGCGUAAUGAAUCGAACGAGAGAUCGAGAGUUCGAAUGCAGUCGAUGUGUUGCAGUGCGAGCAGUCGCAAUUGUCUGCCAUCAAAGGAAGGGUGGCGAUAUAUUUGUUCAUUGCACCAGUUAAUGUAUACGUGUUUUUUUUAUUAGUUUGCGGUAUUAAUAGCAAAGUAUACGGAUUCUCAGAAUACCGUGAUUCAAGAAAUCGACGAACUCUCACGAGUGAAUACACCGGAAAGAACAAAGCCCAAAUACGAAGAUGUGCGGCGGCUUUACGUGCUCCAAAAACGCAUUGACGGCCCUAAACAUCCUUUAUAUUGUUGUUGCAUUUAUUUUAAUUGGUGUAGCUGUUUAUGGAAGAGCUUCUGCUUUAGUUACAAAUCUUCCUAUAAUUGGAGGAAUUUUAGCAUGCGGUGUGAUCCUAAUUCUAAUUUCUAUACUUGGUCUCAUUGGUGCUGUCAAACACCAUCAAGUUCUAUUGUUCUUUUACAUGCUUAUCUUGUUCCUUCUGUUCUUGAUUCAGUUUAGCAUUGCUUGUGCUUGUCUUGCUGUUAAUACCAAACAACAAGAACAGUUAGCAGAACAGGGCUGGAGACACGUUGAAGAUGAUUUAAGAGAAAAGGUUGAGACUACUUUCAAUUGUUGCGGGUUUAAUGAUACUGUCAGCGUAGUUUUAAAUGAUAAAGAGCCAGUAUCUUGCAAAAAUAAACGUUGCUGCCAAUACCCUACUGAUACUGAAUGUGAAUGUCCAUCAUGUAUGCAGAAAUUACAAUCCACAAUUGAUUAUGCUUUUAAAUUAUGUGGCAGCAUAGGAUUAUUCUUCAGCUUUACAGAGUUCGUUGGUGUUUGGUUGACCGUGCGGUACAGGAAUCAGAAAGAUCCACGAGCUAAUCCUAGUGCUUUCCUCUAGUCUAACACCAUCGCUAUAUCCUCUGUCACCUCAUACGAUCCUCCUAAUAGAUGGUGAUCGCAGCUUUCUUGGCAAGACGGUACAGAAAUCAAUUAAAACCACAUGAAAGCCGUUUUUUCUUAGCAUAAUUAUUUUUAUCGAGAUAAUUAAUACACUUUACAGAUAAAAAUACUUUUUUUUUUAUACAGAAGUGCUAUAACUAAAAAUAUGAACGAAUUACUCGACUCCAAUUUUUGUUCGUGUUUAGUUAGGAAUCAAAGAAUUAAUUACUUUUUUCCACAGUACAAACAUCACAUUGCAUAUAACACAAUUCUCAAGGAACUGUUUGUCUUUCACUGCAGUUUAUAAUGCUCAACCGGGAAUGGAUACAAUGCAUUUGAAAAGUGGACAGUCAUAGAUUUUAGAACGCAUUAGACAAACGAUAGUUAAAAUGUGUGCUCUAGUCAUCCAUUUAGAACAAUUGUACUAAGCCUCAAUGCGCCUUGUAGUUUAAUACCUAGAUACAUUUGUGCAAGCGCGUUCCUGCGAAAUUGAGUUUCUUCAUUUGCCAAUUUUUUUUUUUUUACAAUGUGACCUUUACCCGCCAUUUUUUACCCUAUAACCUUAUAUUUAAAAAAAAAA